UAUCCAUCCAUCCAUCAUCAUCCGCUUAUCCUGCGUACAGGGUCGCAGGCGGCUUGAGCCAAUCCCACCUUACAUCGGGCGAAAGGCAGGGUACACCCUGGACAGGUUGCUAGUCCAUCGCAGGCAUUAAUAAUAUAUUCCUAUGCUCCCAUGAGAGAGCAGAUGUCCUGAAGAAGGAGGUUUCCUGUGCCUGUGAUGAAGAGGGCUAAACCCCAACAGGCUGCUCAUCACUCUUUUUAAUUUACACCCACGGCUGGCUGUGUAGUGGCUCGCCCGUCCAUUAUCCCAGGUGGACUGUGAGCAGAGAGAGGGAAGAAAAAGGGGAAGGAGAAGAAGAGAGAGAUGAGAAAUGAGGACAACAAAAGAAAGAAGGGAAUACAGAGUACAGGGAAGGAUCAAGAGAGAAAAAGGGAGAGAUG